CCCUCUGAGCAUAUGUAACGCCGCCCGAAACAUCGUCGAUUCAGACGAGUCCGCCACGAUUAAAUGCGAGCAACUUCGCAUCACUCCCGUUUUAUGAAAUGUGUUUGUUCUUAUAAUAUUUUUGUGGGUGAAAUUAGAUUGGACUUGGAAUAUUUUUCGAUGUUUGAAUUGAAUUAUUUGAACUUGUGGUGUUUUGUGUGGAAAAUAUUAAUUAUUUAUAAACUCAAGUUGGAGUUUGUUUUAUUUC